UUUAACUUAAAUUUAAUUAUUGUUGAUCUCAUUUUGUCUAUCCCUCAGAUGAAUUUUGUUGAUGGUUCUAGCUAUAUGAACUAUGCAGGGAUAUUAGUGUGGCCAAUAUUUUGUUGAUGAGUUUGGGGUUAGGGGAAGUUUUAUAGGGGUCUAUUAUUUUCAUUAGUCUUGUGAAAGAAUGCAGUAAUUGAAAUGUGACUAAAUCUCACUUCUUUCUCUACAGGAAAUAUUGUAAGCAGCAGUAUGCAAACUGGGAGCAAGUUUAUGCUUAACAGAACAUGCACAAGCCUAUAGUUUUGAAUCCAAGAUUUACCCUGUCAGAUGGAUUUAAUAUUUUACCUCAACGGUAGACUGUUUAAUUUAACUUCUAUGCAGAGAGAAUCAAUAUACAUUUCAAUAACAGGCUGUGAAGAGAAGUCU